CCUACGGGGGGCAGCAGUGAGGAAUAUUGGUCAAUGGGCGCGAGCCUGAACCAGCCAAGUAGCGUGAAGGAUGACUGCCCUACGGGUUGUAAACUUCUUUUAUAAAGGAAUAAAGUGAGGCACGUGAGCCUUAUUGUAUGUACUUUAUGAAUAAGGAUCGGCUAACUCCGUGCCAGCAGCCGCGGUAAUACGGAGGAUCCGAGCGUUAUCCGGAUUUAUUGGGGUUAAAGGGAGCGUAGAUGGGUUGUUAAGUCAGUUGUGAAAGUUUGCGGCUCAACCGUCAAAUUGCAAGUGAUACUGGCAGUCUUGAGUACAGUUGAGGUAGGCGGAAUUCGUGGUGUAGCGGUGAAAUGCGUAGAUAUCACGAAGAACUCCGAUUGCGAAGGCAGCUUACUAAACUGCCACUGACAUUGAUGCUCGAAAGUGUGGGUAUCAAACAGGAUUAGAUACCCGGGUAGUC
rnacentral:rRNA from 1 species